rnacentral:rRNA from 1 species
GACGAACGCUGGCGGCGUGCUUAACACAUGCAAGUCGAACGGAAAGGCCCUGCUUGCAGGGUACUCGAGUGGCGAACGGGUGAGUAACACGUGGGUGAUCUGCCCUGCACUUCGGGAUAAGCCUGGGAAACUGGGUCUAAUACCGGAUAGGAGCCAUUUUUAGUGUGAUGGUUGGAAAGUUUUUUCGGUGUAGGAUGAGCUCGCGGCCUAUCAGCUUGUUGGUGGGGUAAUGGCCUACCAAGGCGGCGACGGGUAGCCGGCCUGAGAGGGUGGACGGCCACAUUGGGACUGAGAUACGGCCCAGACUCCUCCGGGAGGCAGCAGUGGGGAAUAUUGCACAAUGGGCGCAAGCCUGAUGCAGCGACGCCGCGUGGGGGAUGACGGCCUUCGGGUUGUAAACUCCUUUCGCUAGGGACGAAGCUUUUGUGACGGUACCUAGAUAAGAAGCACCGGCUAACUAC